AACGAACGCUGGCGGCAUGCCUAACACAUGCAAGUCGAACGAGACCUUCGGGUCUAGUGGCGCACGGGUGCGUAACGCGUGGGAACCUGCCCUUAGGUUCGGAAUACCUCCCCGAAAGGGGUGCUAAUACCGGAUAAUGUCUUCGGACCAAGGAUUUAUCGCCUUUGGAUGGGCCCGCGUUGGAUUAGCUGGUUGGUAGGGUACAAGCCUACCAAGGCGACGAUCCAUAGCUGGUCGGAGAGGAGGAUCAGCCACACUGGGACUGAGACACGGCCCAGACUCCUACGGGAGGCAGCAGUGGGGAAUAUUGGACAAGGGGCGAAAGCCUGAUACAGCAAUGCGGCGUGAGUGAUGAAGGCCUUAGGGUUGUAAAGCUCUUUUACCCGGGAUGAUAAUGACAGUACCGGGAGAAUAAGCUCCGGCUAACUCCGUG
rnacentral:rRNA from 1 species